UCAUAGACCAGCCUGGAUCUUGUUUUCAGUCACAUAUCAAAAUGCGUGCCAUGCCUACUUAGCACAUAUCACAUGAAAAACAUGCCAAACAUGGAAGCAAUGAAAGUCUGAAUAGGAGAAUAUCACCUUUUAAAAAACAUUAAUAAAGUUUUCAAAAAUAAAAAUAAGUAUAAUUCAUUACCCUAAAAUGUAGCCUUUAAUCUUUUCAAGGCUGGCAUGAGCCCUAACCAUAGGUUUUGGAGUAAUUAAAUGAUCAUAUAAUACUAAAAUGUUUAUGUGGGCUUUCACAACUAAAUUUUAGACCUGUUGGGCUUUUCAGUAUGAUCUAAUGGCUGGUGCACAGAAGCUGUUGUUAAGACUCCCAGGCUCUGUUUCUCCUUUCUGCCAAGAUUUACAGCUAAUGAGAUGCUAUUUUCUGCACUGCCUGGCUAGUGCAAAACUGUAUUUGUUAAGGGUUGUUUUUAUGAGCUAAGAUUUACAGUUUCUAAUGAUCACAUGCAAAGUAAACCUUUUAUUUACUUAACCACCAUGAAAAACUGCAUGUAACAAAAUCAUCAUAUAAUUCUUGCUGCAGAAACAUAGCUGCUUUAUAGCCACUGUGAUUUUUUUAGACUUAUACAAAGAACCAUAUCUUAUCACCUUUGCUUAUGCUGAGUGGAAUCUUUUCAAGCAGUCCUGUAGAGAUGAUUUUUCAGUUUCAUGAAUAAUUUUCUGAGACUUUGGUGGAAAAGAAGUCUGAAAACUGAAAAAAGUGGAAUGAACAACAUUUUCAGUGCCAAGGAGCAAAGUGGUCUUUUCUGUUCAGGUACUUCAAGAUGGGCAACAGUAGAAAACAUCAUAUUUAUAAAUAUUUGCUCUUUAUUAAAAUAUGUUUCAGCAAACAUUAUAGACUGAGUUCAGGGAUCCUUCUCAAAAAUGGUUCCCUGUUGCAACUAUCCUGAGUACUAUAAAAAUUGUUAGGUGUGGCAAGAAUUCAGCAAAGAGGAAAGAUUUCCAAGAAGGAAUGUAAAUAUGCAAAAGAAAAGAGAAAGUGAGAUGAAUUAAAUAUAAGGAUUCCAGGUAAAGGUAAGUACUAUUCAUAUUUGUAGAGUUACCUCAAUCAAUUUUAUAACUAUAUUAUAGACUAUAUUUAGGAAUUGUUACAUUUGUUUCUGGAAAUGCUA
rnacentral:lncRNA from 1 species